GAAUUUUGGACAAUGGGCGAAAGCCUGAUCCAGCAAUGCCGCGUGCAGGAUGAAGGCCUUCGGGUUGUAAACUGCCUUUGUACGGAAAGAAAAGCUUUGGGCUAACACCAUGGAGUCAUGACGGUACCGUAAGCAUAAGCACCGGCUACCUACGUGCAAGCAGCCCCGGCAAUAAGUAGGGUGCAAGCGUUACUCGGAAUUACGGGGCUUAAAGGGUGCGCAGGCGGUUUUGUAAGACAGAGGUGAAAUCCCCGGGCUCAACCUGGGAACUGCCUCUGUGACUGCAAGGCUAGAGUACGGCAGAGGGGGGUGGAAUUCCGCGUGUAGCAGUGAAAUGCGUAGAUAUGCGGAGGAACACCGAUGGCGAAGGCAACCCCCUGGGCCUGUACUGACGCUCAUGCACGAAAGCGUGGGGAGCAAACA
rnacentral:rRNA from 1 species